CCAUCUUGGACUCGGUUCGACCCCGUCUGGUGACCGGCGACGCUGGGCUGGGUUCGGCGCAGGGGGUCGGGAAGCACAAAGAAGUUAAGUACUUGCCCAAGUUCACACCAAGAUUUGAACCCAGGUAGUCUUACUUCAGAGACUACGUUUUUAUCCGUGGCCAUUGCCAACCUCAUGCUCAUUCAUUUGUGCUGGGACACUCAUGCUUUAUCCAUAGUACUUCUCCACCAGCAGUUUUGUAAAGAUCAGAGGAAGUGAUGAGCUCAGAGAGCAGAGUCGGGCACAAGAAGGAGGAUACUAUUGGGUGCCCAUCAGUUGCUGUGCCUGUUAUGGCUUAG
rnacentral:lncRNA from 1 species